rnacentral:rRNA from 1 species
GUGCCAGCCGCCGCGGUAAUACGGAGGGUGCAAGCGUUAAUCGGAAUUACUGGGCGUAAAGCGCGCGUAGGCGGGUUUGCAAGUCAGAAGUGAAAUCCCCGGGCUCAACCUGGGAAUAGCUUUUGAUACUGUGGACCUUGAGUUCGGGAGAGGGUGGCGGAAUUCCAGGUGUAGGAGUGAAAUCCGUAGAUAUCUGGAGGAACAUCAGUGGCGAAGGCGGCCACCUGGCCCGAUACUGACGCUGAGGUGCGAAAGCGUGGGUAGCAAACAGGAUUAGAUACCCUGGUAGUCCACGCCGUAAACGAUGGGUGCUAGGAGUCGGGGAGUAUUUCCUCGGUGCCGUAGCUAACGCGAUAAGCACCCCGCCUGGGGAGUACGGUCGCAAGGCUGAAACUCAAAGAAAUUGACGG